rnacentral:rRNA from 1 species
AAAGAGGGGGACCCUCGGGCCUCUUGCCAUCGGAUGUGCCCAGAUGGGAUUAGCUUGUUGGUGGGGUAACGGCUCACCAAGGCGACGAUCCCUAGCUGGUCUGAGAGGAUGACCAGCCACACUGGAACUGAGACACGGUCCAGACUCCUACGGGAGGCAGCAGUGGGGAAUAUUGCACAAUGGGCGCAAGCCUGAUGCAGCCAUGCCGCGUGUAUGAAGAAGGCCUUCGGGUUGUAAAGUACUUUCAGCGGGGAGGAAGGGAGUAAAGUUAAUACCUUUGCUCAUUGACGUUACCCGCAGAAGAAGCACCGGCUAACUCCGUGCCAGCAGCCGCGGUAGUACGGAGGGUGCAAGCGUUAAUCGGAAUUACUGGGCGUAAAGCGCACGCAGGCGGUUUGUUAAGUCAGAUGUGAAAUCCCCGGGCUCAACCUGGGAACUGCAUCUGAUACUGGCAAGCUUGAGUCUCGUAGAGGGGGGUAGAAUUCCAGGUGUAGCGGUGAAAUGCGUAGAGAUCUGNGAGGAAUACCGGUGGCGAAGGCGGCCCCCUGGACGAAGACUGACGCUCAGGUGCGAAAGCGUGGGGAGCAAACAGGAUUAGAUACCCUGGUAGUCCACGCCGUAAACGAUGUCGACUUGGAGGUUGUGCCCUUGAGGCGUGGCUUCCGGAGCUAACGCGUUAAGUCGACCGCCUGGGAAGUACGNGCCGNCAAGGUUAAAACUCAAAUGAAUUGACGGGGGCCCGCACAAGCGGUGGAGCAUGUGGUUUAAUUCGAUGCAACGCGAAGAACCUUACCUGGUCUUGACAUCCACGGAAGUUUUCAGAGAUGAGAAUGUGCCUUCGGGAACCGUGAGACAGGUGCUGCAUGGCUGUCGUCAGCUCGUGUUGUGAAAUGUUGGGUUAAGUCCCGCAACGAGCGCAACCCUUAUCCUUUGUUGCCAGCGGUCCGGCCGGGAACUCGAAGGAGACUGCCAGUGAUAAACUGGAGGAAGGUGGGGAUGACGUCAAGUCAUCAUGGCCCUUACGACCAGGGCUACACACGUGCUACAAUGGCGCAUACAAAGAGAAGCGACCUCGCGAGAGCAAGCGGACCUCAUAAAGUGCGUCGUAGUCCGGAUUGGAGUCUGCAACUCGACUCCAUGAAGUCGGAAUCGCUAGUAAUCGUGGAUCAGAAUGCCACGGUGAAUACGUUCCCGGGCCUUGUAC